rnacentral:rRNA from 1 species
CCUACGGGAGGCAGCAGUGGGGAAUCUUGCGCAAUGGGCGAAAGCCUGACGCAGCCAUGCCGCGUGAAUGAUGAAGGUCUUAGGAUUGUAAAAUUCUUUCACCGGGGACGAUAAUGACGGUACCCGGAGAAGAAGCCCCGGCUAACUUCGUGCCAGCAGCCGCGGUAAUACGAAGGGGGCUAGCGUUGCUCGGAAUUACUGGGCGUAAAGGGAGCGUAGGCGGAUAGUUUAGUCAGAGGUGAAAGCCCAGGGCUCAACCUUGGAAUUGCCUUUGAUACUGGCUAUCUUGAGUACGGAAGAGGUAUGUGGAACUCCGAGUGUAGAGGUGAAAUUCGUAGAUAUUCGGAAGAACACCAGUGGCGAAGGCGACAUACUGGUCCGUUACUGACGCUGAGGCUCGAAAGCGUGGGGAGCAAACAGGAUUAGAUACCCUGGUAGUCCACGCUGUAAACGAUGAGUGCUAGUUGUCGGCAUGCAUGCAUGUCGGUGACGCAGCUACGACAUAAGUACGACGUCCGCCGUCGGGAGGUACGGUCGGCGAAGUAAGUUAAACGUUAACUUAAAGUUAGUAAGUUAGUUACGGCGUUGAGACGUGCCGACGGACGACGACGAGGGAGGAGG